CGUCUGUCUCAACCACUCACCUCGAGUUACAGAGCAAACGCAGCCAUGGACAAUAUGGAAAUGAAUGAACAAUAUGGAAAUGAAUGAGGUGGCUGUGGGCCAAUAAAACUUGACUUACAAGGACAGACAGGAGGCUGGCCUGAGCCUGAGUUUGUCAGUCCUUGGACAAGAAAUACGAGUAGAAGGCAGUGGGGUUCCACGUUGAGGCAAGAGAUGGCCAGAGCAUGCGACGUCCUGGAUCUGGAGCCCCCAGGGAAGAAAAAGAAAUGAAGAUUCAGGGCCCCACGCACGAAGAUUCCAACUUAGCACAUCCGAGGCAAGACCUGGAAUCCGAAUCUUCAUUAAGGGCCCUGGAUGAUUUUUGCAAAGUGUGGGAAAGUUUGCAUCUAUCCUUUCUUGGGUCUCAGAGGAACACUAGCUAAGAGAAAGCCUGGAUAGAGUGGAAGGAGCAAAGAAAGAGCAUUCAUCGAUCACUUAUUAAGUGUGAGGAGCUGUGUCCAUCAGCUGUGGGUGCUGAUAACAACCGCCGCCUGAAACAUUACUGAGCAUGGAUUCUUGCUAAUUUCUGUGCAUUGUCUCUCAUUCGCCCAACAACCC